rnacentral:tRNA from 1 species
GCCGAAAUAGCUCAGUUGGGAGAGCGUUAGACUGAAGAUCUAAAGGUCCCUAGACAGGAACCGGCA